rnacentral:rRNA from 1 species
GGGGAAUAUUGCACAAUGGGCGAAAGCCUGAUGCAGCGACGCCGCGUGAGCGAAGAAGUAUUUCGGUAUGUAAAGCUCUAUCAGCAGGGAAGAUAAUGACGGUACCUGACUAAGAAGCACCGGCUAACUACGUGCCAGCAGCCGCGGUAAAACGUAGGGUGCAAGCGUUGUCCGGAAUUACUGGGUGUAAAGGGAGCGCAGGCGGGAAGACAAGUUGGAAGUGAAAACCAUGGGCUCAACCCAUGAAUUGCUUUCAAAACUGUUUUUCUUGAGUAGUGCAGAGGUAGAUGGAAUUCCCGGUGUAGCGGUGGAAUGCGUAGAUAUCGGGAGGAACACCAGUGGCGAAGGCGGUCUACUGGGCACCAACUGACGCUGAGGCUCGAAAGCAUGGGUAGCAAACAGGAUUAGAUACCCUGGUAGUCCAUGCCGUAAACGAUGAUUACUAGGUGUUGGGGGAUUGACCCCCUCAGUGCCGCAGUUAACACAAUAAGUAAUCCACCUGGGGAGUACGACCGCAAGGUUGAAACUCAAAGGAAUUGACGGGGGCCCGCACAAGCAGUGGAGUAUGUGGUUUAAUUCGAAGCAACGCGAAGAACCUUACCAGGUCUUGACAUCCAACUAACGAAGUAGAGAUACAUUAGGUGCCCUUCGGGGAAAGUUGAGACAGGUGGUGCAUGGUUGUCGUCAGCUCGUGUCGUGAGAUGUUGGGUUAAGUCCCGCAACGAGCGCAACCCUUGCUAUUAGUUGCUACGCAAGAGCACUCUAAUAGGACUGCCGUUGACAAAACGGAGGAAGGUGGGGACGACGUCAAAUCAUCAUGCCCCUUAUGACCUGGGCUACACACGUACUACAAUGGAUGUUAACAGAGGGAAGCAAGACAGCGAUGUGGAGCAAACCCCUAAAAACAUUCUCAGUUCAGAUUGCAGGCUGCAACCCGCCUGCAUGAAGAUGGAAUUGCUAGUAAUCGCGGAUCAGCAUGCCGCGGUGAAUACGUUCCCG